rfam:Mastigocoleus testarum BC008 Contig-10, whole genome shotgun sequence.
UGGUAGAUGCACCCUGAUAUCAUCAAAAUCCCUAGCUGGCUGCCACCCACUAGGGUUUUUUUUA